CUGUGCCCCUGGCUGGGAGAAGUUGGCUCUGCCCUGGACACCCUUGCCGAUGUGCCAUUGCCGUGACAAUGGGUACCAGGGGAGGGCGGCUAAGCAAGGGUCGGCCUGGCUUUGUGGAAGUGCCCUUGCAACUAGGAAGGACUGGCUUCUGGGAAAUGUAGUUUCCCUGUCCCGGGAAAGGGGCGCUCUUGUGGGAAUCUCUGAGGCAAACAGAAGAGCCUUCCUCUCAAUGUGUCUGUGUGCUACUCUACUCUUCUUGAAAGAACACUGCCCACAAACAGUAAAGCAUCCACCAAAAUGACGUCCUUUCACCUUUACCUUAUCUCCAGUCUCUCAGCCAGUGGCAUGGGCACUGUGCCUGGGAGGCUCCAAGCUUCACUUCAGAGGCCUGAGGACAUCACUGUUUCACUGUACUGGGACAGUUUGGCAUCCUUGCCUUCUAACCCACCAAAGCUCUCUGCAAAGGCACUCCAAGCUCCCGGUGCUGAGCGACAACAAUGAGUGAAUGAUGGGCAGAGCCAACCCUUGACCAGAACUGCUGAGCUCUGCAUAGCUCCAACCCUUUAUUUAAACUGGGACCCUGAAGACAAUGAACUCUCUUCUCACUCCUCAGGGAGUAUCACUGGAGCUCUUCAUUUGUUCCUGUUCCAAACAUGCUGAAUAAAUCUUUUGCCACUUA